GUGUUUCCUGCGGAAUAGCUCCGGGAAACUGGAAUUAAUACCGCAUACGCCCUACGGGGGAAAGAUUUAUCGGGGAAGGAUUGGCCCGCGUUGGAUUAGCUAGUUGGUGGGGUAAAGGCCUACCAAGGCGACGAUCCAUAGCUGGUCUGAGAGGAUGAUCAGCCACAUUGGGACUGAGACACGGCCCAAACUCCUACGGGAGGCAGCAGUGGGGAAUAUUGGACAAUGGGCGCAAGCCUGAUCCAGCCAUGCCGCGUGAGUGAUGAAGGCCUUAGGGUUGUAAAGCUCUUUCACCGGAGAAGAUAAUGACGGUAUCCGGAGAAGAAGCCCCGGCUAACUUCGUGCCAGCAGCCGCGGUAAUACGAAGGGGGCUAGCGUUGUUCGGAAUUACUGGGCGUAAAGCGCACGUAGGCGGAUAUUUAAGUCAGGGGUGAAAUCCCAGAGCUCAACUCUGGAACUGCCUUUGAUACUGGGUAUCUUGAGUAUGGAAGAGGUAAGUGGAAUUCCGAGUGUAGAGGUGAAAUUCGUAGAUAUUCGGAGGACACCAGUGGCGAAGGCGGCUUACUGGUCCAUUACUGACGCUGAGGUGCGAAAGCGUGGGAGCAAACAGGAUUAGAUACCCUGGUAGUCCACGCCGUAAACGAUGAUUGUUAGCCGUCGGGCAGUAUACUGUUCGGUGGCGCAGCUUAGGCCUUAACAAUUUCGCCUGGGGAGAACGGUCGCAAGAU
rnacentral:rRNA from 1 species